CAUGCAAGUCGAACGGUCUUUUAGGAGACAGUGGCGGACGGGUGAGUAACGCGUAAGAAUCUACCUUCAGGUUGGGGACAACCACUGGAAACGGUGGCUAAUACCGAAUGUGCCGAGAGGUGAAAGGCUUGCUGCCUGAAGAAGAGCUUGCGUCUGAUUAGCUAGUUGGUAGUGUAAGAGACUACCAAGGCGGACGAUCAGUAGCUGGUCUGAGAGGAUGAUCAGCCACACUGGGACUGAGACACGGCCCAGACUCCUACGGGAGGCAGCAGUGGGGAAUUUUCCGCAAUGGGCGAAAGCCUGACGGAGCAAUACCGCGUGAGGGAGGAAGGCUCUUGGGUUGUAAACCUCUUUUCUCAGGGAAGAACAGAAUGACGGUACCUGAGGAAUAAGCAUCGGCUAACUCCGUGCCAGCAGCCGCGGUAAUACGGAGGAUGCAAGCGUUAUCCGGAAUGAUUGGGCGUAAAGGGUCCGCAGUGGCAUUGUAAGUCUGCUGUUAAAGAGUUUGGCUCAACCAAAUAAGAGCAGUGGAAACUACAAAGCUAGAGUGUGGUCGGGGCAGAGGGAAUUCCUGGUGUAGCGGUGAAAUGCGUAGAUAUCAGGAAGAACACCAGUGGCGAAGGCGCUCUGCUAGGCCGAGACUGACACUGAGGGACGAAAGCUAGGGGAGCGAAUGGGAUUAGAUACCCCAGUAGUCCUAGCCGUAAACGAUGGAUACUAGGCGUAGCUCGUAUCGACCCGAGCUGUGCCGGAGCUAACGCGUUAAGUAUCCCGCCUGGGGAGUACGCAGGCAACUGUGAAACUCAAAGGAAUUGACGGGGGCCCGCACAAGCGGUGGAGUAUGUGGUUUAAUUCGAUGCAACGCGAAGAACCUUACCAAGGCUUGACAUGUCACGAAUCCUAUUGAAAGAUGGGAGUGCUUCGGGAGCGUGAACACAGGUGGUGCAUGGCUGUCGUCAGCUCGUGUCGUGAGAUGUUGGGUUAAGUCCCGCAACGAGCGCAACCCUCGUUUUUAGUUGCCAGCAUUAAGAUGGGCACUCUAGAGAGACUGCCGGUGACAAACCGGAGGAAGGUGGGGAUGACGUCAAGUCAGCAUGCCCCUUACGUCUUGGGCUACACACGUACUACAAUGCUCCGGACAAAGGGCAGCUACACAGCGAUGUGAUGCGAAUCUCAUAAACCGGAGCUCAGUUCAGAUCGAAGGCUGCAACUCGCCUUCGUGAAGGAGGAAUCGCUAGUAAUUGCAGGUCAGCAUACUGCAGUGAAUUCGUUCCCGGGCCUUGUACACACCGCCCGUCACACCAUGGAAGUUGGUCACGCCCGAAGUCGUUACCCCAACCUAUUGGAGGGGGAUGCCUA
rnacentral:rRNA from 1 species